rnacentral:misc_RNA from 1 species
GAUGAAGAACGUAGCAAAAUGCGAUAAGUAGUGUGAAUUGCAGAAUUCAGUGAAUCAUCGAAUCUUUGAACGCACAUUGCGCCCUUUGGUAUUCCUUAGGGCAUGCCUGUUCGAGCGUCAUUUAAACCUUCAAGCUCAGCUUGGUGUUGGGUGACUGUCCGCUUCACCGCGGACUCGCCUCAAAAUUAUUGGCGGCCGGUACAUUGGCUUCGAGCGCAGCAGAAACGCGAACUCGGGCCCGUCGUAUUGGCUCCCAGAAGCUAUCUUCACAAUUUUGACCUCGGAUCAGGUAGGGAUACCCGCUGAACUUAAGCAUAUCAAUAAGCGGAGGA